rnacentral:rRNA from 1 species
GAGUUUGAUCCUGGCUCAGAUUGAACGCUGGCGGAAUGCUUUACACAUGCAAGUCGAACGGCAGCACGGGAGCUUGCUCCUGGUGGCGAGUGGCGAACGGGUGAGUAAUACAUCGGAACAUGCCUAGUCGUGGGGGAUACCGUAGCGAAAGUUACGUUAAUACCGCAUACGUCCUGAGGGAGAAAGCAGGGGAUCGAUCACUGAGCGCAUUGACGCAGUCAAUAAAGCUGCUUAGUGCAUUGAGUGAUCGACCUUGCGCGAUUAGAGUGGCCGAUGCCUGAUUAGCUAGUUGGUGAGGUAAUGGCUCACCAAGGCGACGAUCAGUAGCGGGUCUGAGAGGAUGAUCCGCCACACUGGAACUGAGACACGGUCCAGACUCCUACGGGAGGCAGCAGUGGGGAAUUUUGGACAAUGGGGGGCAACCCUGAUCCAGCCAUUCCGCGUGAGUGAAGAAGGCCUUCGGGUUGUAAAGCUCUUUCAGCGGGAACGAAACGGUGCACUCUAACAUAGCGUAUUAAUGACGGUACCUGCAGAAGAAGCACCGGCUAACUACGUGCCAGCAGCCGCGGUAAUACGUAGGGUGCGAGCGUUAAUCGGAAUUACUGGGCGUAAAGCGUGCGCAGGCGGCUUUUUAAGCCAGACGUGAAAUCCCCGGGCUUAACCUGGGAAUGGCGUUUGGAACUGGAAGGCUAGAGUGUGUCAGAGGGGGGUAGAAUUCCACGUGUAGCAGUGAAAUGCGUAGAGAUGUGGAGGAAUACCGAUGGCGAAGGCAGCCCCCUGGGAUAACACUGACGCUC